rnacentral:rRNA from 1 species
UACUGGGGAUAAUUCCGGAUAACGCAUAUUUGCUGGAAUGCUUUAUGCGUCAAAAGGAUUCGUCUGCCCAAGGAUGGGUCUGCGGCCUAUCAGGUAGUAGUGGGUGUAAUGUACCUACUAGCCAGCGACGGGUACGGGUUGUGAGAGCAAGAGCCCGGAGAUGGAUUCUGAGACAUGAAUCCAGGCCCUACGGGGCGCAGCAGGCGCGAAAACUUUACAAUGCGGGAAACCGUGAUAAGGGGACACCGAGUGCCAGCAUCAUAUGCUGGCUGUCCGGAUGUGUAAAAUACAUCCGUUAGCAAGGGCCGGGCAAGACCGGUGCCAGCCGCCGCGGUAACACCGGCGGCCCGAGUGGUGAUCGUGAUUAUUGGGUCUAAAGGGUCCGUAGCCGGUUUGGUCAGUCCUCCGGGAAAUCUGAUAGCUCAACUAUUAGGCUUUCGGGGGAUACUGCCAGACUUGGAACCGGGAGAGGUAAGAGGUACUACAGGGGUAGGAGUGAAAUCUUGUAAUCCCUGUGGGACCACCUGUGGCGAAGGCGUCUUACCAGAACGGGUUCGACGGUGAGGGACGAAAGCUGGGGGCACGAACCGGAUUAGAUACCCGGGUAGUCCCAGCCGUAAACGAUGCUCGCUAGGUGUCAGGCAUGGCGCGACCGUGUCUGGUGCCGCAGGGAAGCCGUGAAGCGAGCCACCUGGGAAGUACGGCCGCAAGGCUGAAACUUAAAGGAAUUGGCGGGGGAGCACAACAACGGGUGGAGCCUGCGGUUUAAUUGGACUCAACGCCGGACAACUCACCGGGGGCGACAGCAAUAUGUAGGCCAAGCUGAAGACUUUGCCUGAAUCGCUGAGAGGAGGUGCAUGGCCGUCGCCAGUUCGUACUGUGAAGCAUCCUGUUAAGUCAGGCAACGAGCGAGACCCGUGCCCACUGUUACCAGCAUGUCCUCCGGGACGAUGGGUACUCUGUGGGGACCGCCGAUGUUAAAUCGGAGGAAGGUGCGGGCCACGGUAGGUCAGUAUGCCCCGAAUCUCCCGGGCUACCCGCGGGCUACAAUGGAUUGGACAAUGGGUCCCUCCCCUGAAAAGGGCUGGUAAU